rnacentral:rRNA from 1 species
UGGCGAACGGGUGAGUAAUACAUAAGUAACCUGCCCUAGACAGGGGGAUAACUAUUGGAAACGAUAGCUAAGACCGCAUAGGUACGGACACUGCAUGGUGACCGUAUUAAAAGUGCCUCAAAGCACUGGUAGAGGAUGGACUUAUGGCGCAUUAGCUGGUUGGCGGGGUAACGGCCCACCAAGCCUUCGAUGGAUAGGGGUUCUGAGAGGAAGGUCCCCCACAUUGGAACUGAGACACGGUCCAAACUCCUACGGGAGGCAGCAUG